rnacentral:rRNA from 1 species
ACUCCUACGGGAGGCAGCAGUGGGGAAUAUUGCACAAUGGGCGCAAGCCUGAUGCAGCCAUGCCGCGUGUGUGAAGAAGGCCUUCGGGUUGUAAAGCACUUUCAGUCGUGAGGAAGGUAGUGUAGUUAAUAGCUGCAUUAUUUGACGUUAGCGACAGAAGAAGCACCGGCUAACUCCGUGCCAGCAGCCGCGGUAAUACGGAGGGUGCGAGCGUUAAUCGGAAUUACUGGGCGUAAAGCGCAUGCAGGUGGUUUGUUAAGUCAGAUGUGAAAGCCCGGGGCUCAACCUCGGAAUAGCAUUUGAAACUGGCAGACUAGAGUACUGUAGAGGGGGUUAGAAUUUCAGGUGUAGCGGUGAAAUGCGUAGAGAUCUGAAGGAAUACCGGUGGCGAAGGCGGCCCCUGGACAGAUACUGACACUCAGAUGCGAAAGCGUGGGAGCAAACAGGAUUAGAUACCCCGUGGUAGACUGU